GCCCAGCGCGCGGCACCAUGGGAGUGCUCUACGGCGCAGCCGCCUUUAAACUCCGAUCUUGCGAGCGAAAAGUUUAAUGGGCAGGGACUGGAGGACUGCGUGCACUCCUGCAUUGUCUGGGAAACCAGGAACGAAUGAACCACGUGGAGAUCGCAAAGAAAACAGGAUUCACCCCUGCUUUCGGCUCCUCGGUGGGGGCGCGCUCAUGUAGUUCACCUGCGCCUCCUCCAGGGGCUUCUAUUAAGAUCUAACACCUUCCACCCGACCCGGCCUUCUAGAACUGAAACUCCAGGCCAAGAGGUAGCUUGAGAGUGCACCGCCUCCGCGGUCGACCGCCCUCUCUCCGGCUAGCAUAAAUAAACCCAAAAUUGAGCAAACACAGCAGGCAGAUGCAACUUCACAGCACAACGGACCGACCUCCUCUGUGGCACUAGCUGCUCCCAGCCCCUGAGAUGUAGCUCAACCCUUCGCCUGAACAACCCAGGGGGGCAGCAGCAUCUGCUGCACCUGGGAAUUCCUUAGGAAGGCAAAAGAGGGAAGUGGGUUCAAGAUUACAAGCAAGGCUAAAUCAGCAUCAGCUACUAACCCACUCCACUAACCCCAAAGAAACUUCCCAGGCUGACCUGCCCGUCAAACAAGACCUUCAGAUGAUUCCUAUGCACUGCGAUAUGUAAGAAACACCAGACGUCUGUCCCGCGAUGCAAGGCUCAUUUCUCCAUGGAGAAUCAGGAAGUAUACCUCAGACACCCAGAGCUGAUAUGGAUACAGCUGAAAAGAGACACGGUGUGUUGUCUGCAUGUACGACUGUAUACCCUGUGUACAGCUGGCUAUUCCCUAGCCCAGAAGAGCGAGCUGAAUCCCCUGGAACUGGAAUUACAAAAAGCUGAGCUACCGUAUGGGUUCCAGGAAUGAAACCAGGUCCUGUGGAAGAGCAUCCGUGCUCUUAAUCCCCGAGCCAGCAUUCUAGCCCCUAUAGCAACCUUCCCGAGGAGAACCCCUUCAAGGGUAUUUGGGCAAUCUUUCUACCAUACGUGGAUCUAAAGCUUUCUCAUCUAUCUCCACAAGU